AUUGAACGCUGGCGGCAGGCCUAACACAUGCAAGUCGAACGGUAACAGGAAGCAGCUUGCUGCUUUGCUGACGAGUGGCGGACGGGUGAGUAAUGUCUGGGAAACUGCCCGAUGGAGGGGGAUAACUACUGGAAACGGUAGCUAAUACCGCAUAACGUCGCAAGACCAAAGAGGGGGACCUUAGGGCCUCUUGCCAUCGGAUGUGCCCAGAUGGGAUUAGCUAGUAGGUGGGGUAACGGCUCACCUAGGCGACGAUCCCUAGCUGGUCUGAGAGGAUGACCAGCCACACUGGAACUGAGACACGGUCCAGACUCCUACGGGAGGCAGCAGUGGGGAAUAUUGCACAACGGGCGCAAGCCUGAUGCAGCCAUGCCGCGUGUAUGAAGAAGGCCUUCGGGUUGUAAAGUACUUUCAGCGGGGAGGAAGGGAGUAAAGUUAAUACCUUGGCUCAUUGACGUUACCCGCAGAAGAAGCACCGGCUAACUCCGUG
rnacentral:rRNA from 1 species